rnacentral:lncRNA from 1 species
ACCACCUCUACUCCUGGGGCUCAGCUCACCGAAAACCUAAGUUGGUUGAUGCCUGCCCAACUGCCUUAUCACAUCUCUCCUCCAGGAACCAAAAAUCUCUUUUCCUAUCCUAUCCCUUUUCCUCUCUCCACUUCUUAUUUCCCCUGGUUAGGACUGGGCUAGAGGCCCACUAACUCAGUCUGUUUUGCGUUUCUAUAAAGGAAUACCUAAGGUUGGUAAUUUAUAAAGAAAAAAGGUUCUGCAGAGUGUGCAAGAAGCAUGGUGCUGGCAUCUGCCUCUGGUAAAGACCUCAGGACACUUUCAAUCAUGGCAGAAGGCAAAGGGGGAGCAAAUGUGUCACAUGAUGAGAGAGGGAGGAAGAAGAGAGGGAGAGAUGCCAGGCUCUUUUAAACAACUAGCUUCCACGUGAACUAAUAGAGAGAUAACUCAAUUAUUAUCAUGAGGAUGACACCAAGCCGUCCAUGAGGGAUCCGCCUCCAUGAUUCAGACACUUCCUAUUGGGUCCUAACUCCACACUGGGGAUCAAAUUUCAACAUGAGAUUUGGAGGUGACAAAUAGCCAAACUAUAUCACCCUCCUUAUCCCCUCCUCCCAGAAAACAGAAAAAGAGGUCAGUGCAUGUCUAGAGGGAGAGGAAUUGUUGGAGCCUGGGGCCAGAGAAACUGCCUGCCUCCCUCACGUCAGUUCCCUUUUCUUGCUCCACAGACCAUGACAGGGCACCCAGAGUGACUGACGUAGCCCAAAGAUAACUGUGUUUCUGAUCGAGGAGCAAGUUGCAUCAGGAACAAGAGGCGCCCGGAAAGCCCUAGCUCUUCUCUGUCUCUUCCGUGAGCACACUUUGGCCCUGGGGCCGGAGAGCUCUCGAUGCAGGCGCAGACCCGAACUCCAGAACUCCGGAGGUAGCAGCAAGGCUGGCCACACCACCCACCCCACCAUCUCUGGCCCCACAACUCAACCAGCCAUCAGUCCCUUCACUGCCAGUGUUCACGGACCAUGCAAACAACCAAGUGAGUGAGCAGGGGCUGGCCGGGGUUGG